rnacentral:rRNA from 1 species
AACGGGUGAGUAACACGUGGGCAAUCUGCCCUGCACUCUGGGACAAGCCCUGGAAACGGGGUCUAAUACCGGAUACUGAUCGCCUUGGGCAUCCUUGGUGAUCGAAAGCUCCGGCGGUGCAGGAUGAGCCCGCGGCCUAUCAGCUUGUUGGUGAGGUAAUGGCUCACCAAGGCGACGACGGGUAGCCGGCCUGAGAGGGCGACCGGCCACACUGGGACUGAGACACGGCCCAGACUCCUACGGGAGGCAGCAGUGGGGAAUAUUGCACAAUGGGCGAAAGCCUGAUGCAGCGACGCCGCGUGAGGGAUGACGGCCUUCGGGUUGUAAACCUCUUUCAGCAGGGAAGAAGCGAAAGUGACGGUACCUGCAGAAGAAGCGCCGGCUAACUACGUGCCAGCAGCCGCGGUAAUACGUAGGGCGCGAGCGUUGUCCGGAAUUAUUGGGCGUAAAGAGCUCGUAGGCGGCUUGUCGCGUCGGUUGUGAAAGCCCGGGGCUUAACCCCGGGUCUGCAGUCGAUACGGGCAGGCUAGAGUUCGGUAGGGGAGAUCGGAAUUCCUGGUGUAGCGGUGAAAUGCGCAGAUAUCAGGAGGAACACCGGUGGCGAAGGCGGAUCUCUGGGCCGAUACUGACGCUGAGGAGC